rnacentral:lncRNA from 1 species
GCCACUGUUGUCAUUAAACGGAGGCCGCGCGGACGACGACGAAGGACGGCCGCACGUACGACGACGGAUGGAGGCCGCGCGGACGAGGGACGGAGAACAGCCACGCAGACGACGAUAGAUGGAGGCCGCGCAGACGAUGACGGACGACGGCCGCACGUAUGAUGAUGGAUGGAGACUGCGCGGACGACGACGGACGGAGACCGCACGGACGACGACAGAGGACAGCCGCGCGGACGACGGAGGCAAGAGGACGGGGCGGCAAUGACCACCAUGGAUAGCAACUCUGGAUAGCAACUCCUCAAAUUUGCGCGUGGAGCGCCUCUGGAUAGCAACUCCUCAAAAUUUGGCAAGUCCUUUAGCAAACCAUUGGAGAAUCAAAUUUGUAGUUUUUGCCAAAUAAACAAGGAUAGCAAGUGCAAAUGACAAACCAUUGGAGAUGCUCUAA